rnacentral:rRNA from 1 species
UACGGGGGGGGCAAGCGUUGUUCGGAAUUACUGGGCGUAAAGGGCUCGUAGGCGGCCAACUAAGUCAGACGUGAAAUCCCUCGGCUUAACCGGGGAACUGCGUCUGAUACUGGAUGGCUUGAAUUCGGGAGAGGGAUGCGGAAUUCCAGGUGUAGCGGUGAAAUGCGUAGAUAUCUGGAGGAACACCGGUGGCGAAGGCGGCAUCCUGGACCGAUAUUGACGCUGAUGCGCGAAAGCCAGGGGAGCAAACGGG